UGCCGAAACACCCCCCAGUCAGUGGGGUGUCUACUUAGGGUAGUGCCUAGGUACUGACGAGGCAGCUAACA
rnacentral:hammerhead_ribozyme from 1 species